rnacentral:rRNA from 1 species
AAUCAACGCUGGCGGCGUGCCUAACACAUGCAAGUCGAACGCGACUGGGGCUUCGGCCUCAGUUGAGUGGCGAACGGGUGAGUAACACGUGGGUGACCUACCUUCGAAUGGGGGAUAACGUCCCGAAAGGGACGCUAAUACCGCAUAACAUCCUGCCUUUGACAGGCGGAGAUCAAAGCCGGGGAUCGCAAGACCUGGCGUUUGAAGAGGGGGCCCGCGUCCGAUUAGCUAGUUGGUGAGGUAACGGCUCACCAAGGCGACGAUCGGUAGCCGGCCUGAGAGGGGCGGACGGGCCACACUGGGACUGAG